GAGUCGCGCGACAUCGUAACAGACGCUUUACUCUCCAAGUCUAAUCGCUCGAAAGUCGCGAUAUAAUAACUCGAACUUUUCCAUCGAACCGUAUCGGAUGAUUCCGCGCAGAAUAUUCGCAAUUUGACGGCCGUUUGUCAAGAUAGAAGUGUUUCCAGCACUUCCUUCGUCGACGUCCUGAUCGAACGCGUUCCAAUCGACGAACGACGGAGUUAAUUUCGAG